AUUUGGCGGACGGGUGAGUAACGCGUGGGAACGUACCUUUUGCUACGGAAUAACUCAGGGAAACUUGUGCUAAUACCGUAUGUGCCCUUCGGGGGAAAGAUUUAUCGGCAAAGGAUCGGCCCGCGUUGGAUUAGCUAGUUGGUGAGGUAAAGGCUCACCAAGGCGACGAUCCAUAGCUGGUCUGAGAGGAUGAUCAGCCACACUGGGACUGAGACACGGCCCAGACUCCUACGGGAGGCAGCAGUGGGGAAUAUUGGACAAUGGGCGCAAGCCUGAUCCAGCCAUGCCGCGUGAGUGAUGAAGGCCCUAGGGUUGUAAAGCUCUUUCACCGGUGAAGAUAAUGACGGUAACCGGAGAAGAAGCCCCGGCUAACUUCGUGCCAGCAGCCGCGGUAAUA
rnacentral:rRNA from 1 species